CGGUAUCCCAUCCUCUGAUUGGCUGGGCGCUUCCCCUAAGCGAACCUUUAGAACUCUGAGACACAAUAUUCUGUUACAUUGUAGCAAAAUGGCGACUGUCAUUCACAACCCCCUGAAAGCACUUGGAGACCAGUUCUACAAAGAAGCCAUCGAGCACUGCCGCAGCUACAACUCUCGGCUGUGCGCCGAGCGCAGCGUCCGCCUCCCCUUCCUGGAUUCGCAGACUGGGGUAGCUCAGAACAACUGCUACAUCUGGAUGGAGAAGAGGCAUCGGGGACCAGGACUGGCCCCAGGUCAGCUGUACACAUAUCCUGCUCGCUGCUGGCGCAAAAAGAGACGCUUACAUCCUCCUGAGGACUCCAGGCUGAAGCUUCUGGAAAUUAAACCUGAAGUUGAUCUGCCUUUGAAGAAGGAUGGGUUCACAUCAGAGGGAACCACACUGGAAGCCUUGCUGCGCGGGGAAGGGAUUGAGAAAAAAGUGGAUACUAAAGAGGAAGACACUAUACAGGAAAUCCAGAGAGUUUUGGAAAAUGAUGAAAAUGCUGAUGAAGUGAAUGAGGAAGAGGAAUUAGAAGAAGAUAUUCCAAAAAGAAAGAACAGGCCCAGAGGACGGGCUCGGGGAUCUGGAGGUGGCAGGAGAAGGAACGAUGCUGCCUCCCAGGAUGACCAUGACAAACCUUACGUUUGUGACAUCUGUGGCAAACGUUAUAAGAACAGACCUGGACUGAGCUACCAUUAUGCUCACACUCACCUUGCCAGCGAAGAGGGGGAUGAAGCCCAAGAGCAGGAGACACGCUCCCCACCCGUCCACAGAAACGAGAACCACAAACCCCAGAAAGGACCAGACGGGGCUAUCAUUCCCAACAACUACUGUGACUUCUGCCUUGGAGGCUCCAGUAUGAACAAAAAAAGUGGCUGUCCAGAGGAGCUUGUGUCAUGCUCAGACUGUGGACGCUCGGCUCAUUUGGGAAGAGAAGGCAGGAAGGAGGAAGCAGCGCCAGCACGCACUACGGAGGACUUGUUCGGUUCCACAUCGGAAAGUGACACCUCGACCUUUCACGGCUUUGAUGAGGAUGAUGCGGAAGAGCCUCUCUUGAGCCGAGGAGGCGGCCAUGGUAGCAGCUCUCCCUCUACAAAUAAAAAGGGUGGCUGCUAAAAUAACUAAACAGACACAGAAACUCUUUGAGCGAUUUUCUAUCCUUUUUACUACUAUGAUUAUUAUUACUACUUUUUUUUUUAAAUUUUAGAUCCCUUUUUUUCCCCCUUUGGGUGUGUACACUGAAAGCACAAACGUAUAAAACACAGACUACUUCAAAGAGACAGAAAGUUUUGAUUCACUUUUUAUUUUUUCAUUUUAAUUUGUUUCCUUUCUCCUCCCCCUCUUUCUCUCUGGAAACCUGAAAUGUGGAUUUAGGUUUUUUUUUUUUUUAAUAAUGAGCAGAGUUGAUUUUCUCAUCUUUUAAUAUAUAUCAGCAAACCACAAAAAAUACAAAUGGGUUGGAGAGCAGAAACCCAACCCAAAUAAUUUUUUAAUUAUUAUUAUUAUUAUUUAUAUAUUCUAUAUAUUAUUAGAAAAAAGACUUUUUAAAUACAAAAUACAAAAAAUAAAAAAGCAAUGGACAUCUACUUGAUACUAGAACUGUUUCUAGAAAAACCACUGUGGGGUGGAUUGUUUGAGAUGACAAUGAAGCCCGUGGUUUGAUGACUUCUGCAAUGUGAGAUUUUGCACUUACUGUAGCGCGUGGAAUUUGUGACUCCCCAUCACGUGCUCCUCUACCACUCACCCGUAACAGCUUGAAAACACAAGCAGCUCUGAAGACCAUGACAUUGAGGAACACAUUUCCAUCAUUCCUCUGGACACCUCUGCACUCGUAAGAGAUCUCCUCCUCCUCCCCUCCAACCUUUUCAUCUCCUCCUCACUCCGUGCGGCUUUUUUUCUCUUUUUUUCCCUCUUCUUCACCUUUCACCUCAUGGAGAGCAAUUUCCAAGCACAGGGAUGGAAUAUAAAUGGCAAGUCACAGACUCUGCAAAGACAAAACAGCUGGAGGAAUGAAUCAUUGAAGAAAUUAAAAGGAAAAAUACCUCACCUAUAUUUUUCUUUUCUUUCUUUUUUUUUUUUUAAAUUCACACACACAUUUUGUUGCCCAGAUUUUUCUCUGUCUGUAGUGUCUUGUGAGGCACUUUGUGUUGUUUUUCAAUAGCUUCUCUUGAAAUAAACCAAAGCAAUACUCACUAAAGUCCUGAGGGCAAUGGAGAAGAGAGUGAUUCCCUCCCAGCGCUGUCCCAUGACCGAGGAGCCAUGCAACAGAUUUGAAAGUCUGUCCUGCCCUCAUGGACUCCAGCAUCCUUCAAGCAAGCCAUUUCCGAAGACGGCCAAGAGAAGCCAGAAUGCUUUGAUAUUUCUCCUCUCCUUGCCCAACCCAUCCCAGCUGGCACAGGCGCCUGGACUGUGGAAAGCCUGCUGGCACCUGCUCAGAAGUUUUGGGAUGCCCUAAGCUUGUGCAAUACAAAGAAAACCUUUUCUUUGUUAAACGUCUUGAUUUCACUGUCCUUUAUGCGUGUGUGUAAACCCAGGUCAAACUGGAAUUGAUCUACAAUAGAAAUGACUGAAAAACAAACAAACUGAAAAAAAGACAACUAUUUUAUUUAUUUCAAUAUUUAAGAGAGAAAAGAAGUGCUCAAGUUGCACAGUAUUUUUGUUUAAAAUACAGUUUACUUCAAAAUUUAAAAGCAAUUUUGUGAAGACGUGAAAAUUAAAAAAAAAGCACUUAAUGUAAAAUAAAGACUGAAUAUUUACUUUAAGGAAAAACUUUUUUUAAUUAUGAAAAUAAAGAUCAACUCUGCUCUCUCUUACUUUAAAGAAGCCAUUCAUACAUGUGCUGGGUAUUUUUAUUUUUUGCAAAUUGGAUGUGGUAAGUGAAGAUUGUUCUGGUUUACUUUCUCCUAAAUUCUUGGUACUGUUUCCCUGUUAGAUAUUUAAAGCUUAUUUGCUUUACUGUGGUAGGCACAAAUCCGAACAAAUAUACUGUUGAAAAAGCAAAGAACAGACCCAAAGGCUGAAUUCUUGUUAUUAGUUUUUGUGUCCAGGCUGGAAGGAAUAUUGAUGUAUCUUUUCUAUAGAGUGAAACAAGUUUUGGCUUUACCAGUUCUGGGAAAUAUUGCUGCUGAAAAUAGAGGUUUAAAAAAGGAACAUCUCAAUUUACAGCAGUGCUACAUUUCAUUUUAGUAACUCAGCAGCUCAUUCUGAGAGAUGCUUGCAAUCUAAGGGCCUGAGCGUUCAAGCAUUCUGGGCAUGGAAUCUCCCAGUGGAAGUCCCCUGCACUCCCAAGUGCAGCACCAUUGCAUAAUUGAGCCCUAGUUUGGAAACUACUGGACAUUCAAAGGCAUGCAGAACUUCUUUUAAGCAGCUGGGGUGACUCAGGAGGAGGCAAGUGUGAGGUGCCAGGUGUAGAACCCUAAAUUUAGUUUUAUGGAGUGUGUGUGGUAAGGAAGGAGUUCAUACAUUUAUUUUAAACUGUUACUCAUCUUCUCAUCCUGGUAAGAUGUAUUGAUUCAUAGAUGAAUUGAAGGGUCUAUUUGGUUACCCAGUCCAUCUCCAGGGGCCAGUGCAAGAUUGUUCCCUACAGUGCUUUGUGCAGUCUGGUUUUGAGUGUCUCAAAUUAAAGAUACAGAACAGCCUAGUCUCCUAAAGAAGGCCUUGGAUUUGAACCUGAGGCCUAGUCUACACUAGAAAAGCUUUGCCAUUAUAGCUGCUACUGGUAUCAGUUUCCCAAACAAAAUAAGCUAUACUGGCAAAGGCAUCUUUAUGCUCAUAUAACUGGACUUUUGCCAGUAUAGAAAUGUUGCAAAACAAUCACACUGACAUUACUAUGCCAGAAAACGUUUCUAGUGUAGAGCUAGCCUGAACUCCCUUGUCCCUCCUCAUCCAGUGAGUCAUCUCUGCUUAGUCACUAAAUUAUUUAUUUAUCAACGGCAUCUGGGGAGAACCUGUUCUUUUGCCAUUGACAAGAAGGUGGUAGCAUAUGUGAUGAUAAUGAAGGUCCUGACCCUUCAUCUUGUUUCUUGCUCACCAAGACUUCAGUUGACUUCACUGGGAAUCUUGGGUGUGUUAGGAAUGGAGGAUCUGAAGGAACCCCUCCCCUUCUUAACACCUAGGACCAAAUCUGCAGGUAUAGGCAAUGUAACAUCACUGGUAGAUCCUACUCCAGCUCCCACUGAAUUCAAUGGCAAAACUUAUAUUGCCGUCAAUGGGAGCAGGAGCAGGACACUUUGCCAGUUUUUUUGGAAAUCUGCAGUUGUUAAACUGCCUUUAAAAAUAAUCAGGUUUUGUUCUGUUAAAAUAUAACAAGAUGCACAACUGUAAUGAAACUUCUCAAACUGUAGGGUCUGGAUUUAAUUUGUGUAAUAUUCUUGUUAAAUAAAAGUCUCCUGAUGCCCCCAUUGUAUAUUUCUCUGUAAAUAUUACUUUAUCAACAAAUCCCACAAGAUCUUUCUAGUGCACACUAUCAUCUCUAAAACCCCACUGUCAGAUAUACUUGCUGUACAUACACUUUUUUAAGCUCACCAUUGUUUACAAUAUUCUCUUCAAGGCUUAAAAUAAAACUUCCUUCUCUA